rnacentral:rRNA from 1 species
GAUGAACGCUGGCGGCGUGCUUAACACAUGCAAGUCGAGCGAGAAGUUUUGAAAAGAUUCUUCGGAUGAAGUUUAAAAUGGAAAGCGGCGGACGGGUGAGUAACGCGUAGGCAACCUGCCCCAUACAAAGGGAUAGCAUUUGGAAACGAAUAUUAAUACCUUAUGAAACUUAACUAGUGCAUGCUAGGUAGGUCAAAGAUUUAUCGGUAUGGGAUGGGCCUGCGUCUGAUUAGCUAGUUGGUGAGGUAACGGCUCACCAAGGCGACGAUCAGUAGCCGACCUGAGAGGGUGAACGGCCACAUUGGAACUGAGACACGGUCCAAACUCCUACGGGAGGCAGCAGUGGGGAAUAUUGCACAAUGGGGGAAACCCUGAUGCAGCAACGCCGCGUGAACGAUGAAGGCCUUUGGGUCGUAAAGUUCUGUUCUAGGUGAUGAAAACUGACAGUAACCUAGGAGAAAGCCCCGGCUAACUCCGUG